rnacentral:pre_miRNA from 1 species
UCUUAUGCAUGAGCAAACAAGGUGGUUUAUUUAGAUGGAAUUUACUCCUGGUGAAGAUGCUGUGAA